UCAUUAAGUUGGGCACUCUAAGUUGACUGCCGGUGACAAACCGGAGGAAGGUGGGGAUGACGUCAAAUCAUCAUGCCCCUUAUGAUUUGGGCUACACACGUGCUACAAUGGACAAUACAAAGGGCAGCGAAACCGCGAGGUCAAGCAAAUCCCAUAAAGUUGUUCUCAGUUCGGAUUGUAGUCUGCAACUCGACUACAUGAAGCUGGAAUCGCUAGUAAUCGUAGAUCAGCAUGCUACGGUGAAUACGUUCCCGGGUCUUGUACACACCGCCCGUCACACCACGAGAGUUUGUAACACCCGAAGCCGGUGGAGUAACCUUUUAGGAGCUAGCCGUCGAAGGUGGGACAAAUGAUUGGGGUGAAGUCGUAACAAGGUAGCCGUAUCGGAAGGUGCGGCUGGAUCACCUCCUUUCUA
rnacentral:rRNA from 1 species